rnacentral:rRNA from 1 species
UACAGGGGGGGCAAGCGUUGUUCGGAAUUACUGGGCGUAAAGGGCUCGUAGGUGGCCAACUAAGUCAGACGUGAAAUCCCUCAGCUUAACUGGGGAACUGCGUCUGAUACUGGAUGGCUUGAGUUUGGGAGAGGGAUGCGGAAUUCCAGGUGUAGCGGUGAAAUGCGUAGAUAUCGGGAGGAACACCAGUGGCGAAGGCGACUUCCUGGCCUGUUCUUGACGCUGAGGCACGAAGGCCAGGGGAGCAAACGGG